rnacentral:rRNA from 1 species
GCUCCAAUAGCGUAUAUUAAAGUUGUUGCGGUUAAAAAGCUCGUAGUUGGAUUUCUGCUGAGGAUGACCGGUCCGCCUCUGGGCAGGUAUCUGGCUCAGCCUUGGCAUCUUCCUGAAGAACGCAGCUGCACUUGACUGUGUGGUGCGGUAUUUAGGACAUUUACUUUGAGGAAAUUAGAGUGUUUCAAGCAAGCGCACGC